rnacentral:misc_RNA from 1 species
UCGAGUCUUUGAACGGGUUGUCGCUGGCCCUCCCAUGAGGGAGGGCAUGUGCACGCCUGGCUCAUCCACUCUUCAACCCCUGUGCAUCAUUUGUAAGAAAAAAAGGAAUGACGGGAAGGUCAAGCUUUUUCAUCAGAGCUAGGCUGGAGGUCUAUUCUUUUCUUCUUAUGUUUAUCACAAACGUUUCAGUUAUAAGAAUGUCUUGUUGUGUAUAACACAAAUAUA